UCACGAAUCUUUGAACGCACAUUGCGCCCUCUGGUAUUCCGGGGGGCAUGCCUGUUCGAGCGUCAUUAUAACCACUCAAGCUCUCGCUUGGUAUUGGGGUUCGCGGUUUCGCGGCCCCUAAAAUCAGUGGCGGUGCCUGUCGGCUCUACGCGUAGUAAUACUCCUCGCGAUUGAGUCCGGUAGGUUUACUUGCCAGCAACCCCUAAUUUUUACAGGUUGACCUCGGAUCAGGUAGGGAUACCCGCUGAACUUAAG
rnacentral:misc_RNA from 1 species